CAAACAUCAUGAAUGGUUUGAAAACUACAGUUAGUAACGAGUUUGUUUAAUGUGAAUUUUUACCUUGUCAUUUGCAUUGGCGCAACUUUUCAUGUAUCUGUGGCAUACAAUUCUUCUUCCUCUAUCUUGACUCUUGGGCCUUGGUGAUCAAUUAGUGCGAGCAGGAUCGUAUGUAGCAUAACCAUUUCAAGUUUACUACGCAGAUAGCAUGCCUUAUCCAUAGAUUCCAUACCCUCUUGCUCGAGGGCUACUACUAGUCCUGCAUUCUUCUU
rnacentral:lncRNA from 1 species